rnacentral:lncRNA from 1 species
AAGAGAGUGGAAGGAAGGAAGGAAGGAAGGAAGAAGGAAGGAAGGAAGGAAGGAAGGAAGGAAGGAAGGAAGGAAGGAAGGAAGGAAGGAAGGAAGGAAGGAAGGAAGGAAGAAGGAAGGAAGGAAGGAAGGAAGGAAGGAAGGAAGGAAGGAAGGAAGGAAGGAAGGAAGGAAGGAAGGAAGGAAGGAAGGAAGGAAGGAAGGAAGGAAGGAAGGAAGGAAGGAAGGAAGGAAGGAAGGAAGGAAGGAAGGAAGGAAGGAAGGAAACCCCAUAG